rnacentral:pre_miRNA from 1 species
CAUGCACCAGUGGGGUCCCUCAGCCUGGCCUGCACCCUCUCGCAAUUUGGGACCCCUCAAGGGAUAUAGGAGAGCCAGUUUCGGCCCAAUCCUACAGGCCAGGCUGAGGGACCCCACUGGUGCAGG